rnacentral:rRNA from 1 species
GGAAUAUUGGACAAUGGGCGCAAGCCUGAUCCAGCCACGCCGCGUGAGUGAUGAAGGCCUUCGGGUUGUAAAGCUCUGUGGGGAGGGACGAAAAAAGCGUUCAAGAAACGGGACGCUCUUGACAGUACCUCCUUAGCAAGCACCGGCUAACUCUGUGCCAGCAGCCGCGGUAAUACAGAGGGUGCGAACGUUGCUCGGAAUUACUGGGCGUAAAGCGCGUGUAGGCGGGUGAUCAAGUCGGAUGUGAAAGCCCUGGGCUCAACCCAGGAACUGCAUUCGAAACUGGUCGCCUAGAGUGCUGGAGAGGGAAGCGGAAUUCCUGGUGUAGAGGUGAAAUUCGUAGAUAUCAGGAGGAACACCGGUGGCGAAGGCGGCUUCCUGGACAGUUACUGACGCUGAGACGCGAAAGCGUGGGGAGCAAAC